rnacentral:rRNA from 1 species
GAUGAACGCUGGCGGCGUGCCUAAUACAUGCAAGUCGAGCGAACAGACGAGGAGCUUGCUCCUCUGACGUUAGCGGCGGACGGGUGAGUAACACGUGGAUAACCUACCUUUAAGCCUGGGACAACUUCGGGAAACGGGAGCUAAUACCGGAUAAUAAAUUUAACCGCAUGUUUCAAUAUUGAAAGACGCUUUUGCUUUAACUUAUGAAUGGACCGCGUCCGCUUUAGCUAGUUGGUAAGUAAACGGCUUACCAAGGCGACAAUCCGUACCCGACCUGAGAGGGUGAUCGGCCACACGGGAACUGAGACACGGUCCAGACCCCUACGGGAGGCAGCAGUAGGGAAUCUGCCGCAAUGGGCGAGAGCCUGACGGAGCAACGGCGCGUGAGUGAUGAAGGGCUUCGGAUCGUAAAACUCUGUGAUGAGGGAAGAACAAAUGUGUAAGGAACGCUGCACGUCUUGACGGUACCAAAGCAGAAAGCAACGGCUAACUACGU